AAUAGAUACCCGGUAGUCCACGCCGUAAACGAUGAGUGCUAAGUGUUAGAGGGUUUCCGCCCUUUAGUGCUGCAGCUAACGCAUUAAGCACUCCGCCUGGGGAGUACGGUCGCAAGACUGAAACUCAAAGGAAUUGACGGGGGCCCGCACAAGCGGUGGAGCAUGUGGUUUAAUUCGAAGCAACGCGAAGAACCUUACCAGGUCUUGACAUCCUCUGACAACUCUAGAGAUAGAGCGUUCCCCUUCGGGGGACAGAGUGACAGGUGGUGCAUGGUUGUCGUCAGCUCGUGUCGUGAGAUGUUGGGUUAAGUCCCGCAACGAGCGCAACCCUUGAUCUUAGUUGCCAGCAUUCAGUUGGGCACUCUAAGGUGACUGCCGGUGACAAACCGGAGGAAGGUGGGGAUGACGUCAAAUCAUCAUGCCCCUUAUGACCUGGGCUACACACGUGCUACAAUGGAUGGUACGAAAGGGCUGCAAGACCGCGAGGUCAAGCCAAUCCCAUAAAACCAUUCUCAGUUCGGAUUGUAGG
rnacentral:rRNA from 1 species